GCCGGAGUGGUGGAAUUGGUAGACACCUGGGACUUAAAAUCCUAUGAGAAGCGAUUCUCGUACCGGUUCGAGUCCGGUCUCCGGUACCA
rnacentral:tRNA from 1 species